rnacentral:rRNA from 1 species
AUCCAGACUCCUACGGGAGGCAGCAGUGGGGAAUAUUGCACAAUGGGCGAAAGCCUGAUGCAUCAACGCCGCGUGAAGGAAGAAGGGUUUCGGCUCGUAAACUUCUAUCAACAGGGACGAAAGAAAUGACGGUACCUGAAUAAGAAGCCCCGGCUAACUACGUGCCAGCAGCCGCGGUAAUACGUAGGGGGCAAGCGUUAUCCGGAUUUACUGGGUGUAAAGGGAGCGUAGACGGUUAUGCAAGUCUGAAGUGAAAGCCCAAGGCUCAACCAUGGGACUGCUUUGGAAACUGUAAAACUGGAGUGUAGGAGAGGUAAGCGGAAUUCCUAGUGUAGCGGUGAAAUGCGUAGAUAUUAGGAGGAACACCAGUGGCGAAGGCGGCUUACUGGACUGUAACUGACGUUGAGGCUCGAAGGCGUGGGGAGCAAACAGGAUUAGAUACCCGCGUAGC